rnacentral:misc_RNA from 1 species
GUGAAUCAUCAAAUCUUUGAACGCAUAUUGCACUAUCUGGUAUUCCGGAGAGUAUGCCUAUUUGAGGGUCAUUUGUAAUAAUAUAAUUUUCGAGAUUUUCUUGAUAUCAAUAAUGGUUUGGUCCAGCCUUCGUGUGGUGGUCGCCUAAAAUGCAAGACAAGCUUAUUUCUUGGGUUGCGUGAUACUUUCUGUUACCUCGUGAAUGCACAGGUAAUCUUCGAGCGCUUUAAGAAUUGUGCAAGUAAUAACAUUCA